rnacentral:lncRNA from 1 species
AGAUAGCUAGUCUAGCAUAGUCAGGCUCCUGAGGAUGCCAGCCCUUCUGGUAGCACUGCAAGUGAUUAAAGCUUACAUGACUGCUUUUCUUCCACAGUGUGAUGUAUCUACUUCCAGGUUCUUGUAUAACUGCCACACGUUUCUGCUUGAUAUAUACCUAUCAAAAGCUUGACAGUAGUAAAUACUUAUGCAGGAGGGGCUGGCCAGAUGAUGAGUGAGCUCAUAUCCUUUUGAUCGCUUGUGGAAUUGCUUUGUACUAAACUGUGCUUUGCCAGUAUACUAUUCCUGCUUUUAUGCCAGAGGUAGCAAAUUUUUUGUGUGAAAAAUCAGACCUUGGCGAUGACCUUAAACAGCAGGAUAUGAAGAACUCCCACAAGCUUAGCGUUCCAAUAAUGGAACACUAGGCAUAAAUGGGUUAACUGAAGAGAAUAUUUGCAGUGUUAACCCUAUAAAACUCACCUUUAUAAUUUCUGUGAGGAAUAUUGUUAGAAAUGUUGUCAUACAUGAAGUGACACUAUCUGUCUGGAAAAAUUUUCCUCAGCCUGUGGUUCUCCCACUUCUCCCUCUUUGUUCUAGCAAUGAAUCACAAAACAGAUUGGGUUUCCAUCCUUGAAUCAGAUCCUAGGAAGAUCAGAGUUAAAUUUGGACCCAAUUUUUUAGCUUUUCUUUUUCAAUUUCUUUGCUUCCAUAUUUAAAUGUAUCUUAAAAACUUUUUUAAAGCCACUUCAAAACCAUUCUGAAAUGCAAUGAAGUAUAAAGAGACAUUCUAUUUUUUGACACAAAAACGAGAACUCACUUAAUUUUGCCGUAGUUUAUGGAUAAUUUUACAUUUUUAGCAAUAAUUGUCCUUUCACACUCACAAAUUCAUAUAAAUAUAAUUCAAAGAAUAAAAGUGUUUUUUUAGUAACUGUAGAGGCAUUGGUGCAUAUUGGGAAAAACCUUAGUGGACUUGAGGAGUAAAGGCUUUUAAACCUUAUCUAAAGGUCGCAAAGAUACCAUGUAGAUUAUUAAGAGUUGGUUUACCAGAAAGGUCAAUGAUUUCUUAGACACAUUUAAAAAUAGUCUGACAUCCUCAUCUGUGAACAUUUUAAAUUUUUCUUAUUGAACUAGAUUGCUUAAGUCUGCUUAAUCUCAAAGUGGCUCUCAUAUGAUUGAAAUGUUGACAGAUGCAAGGGUAGACACUCUAGUCCAGGAAUUCUGUUUUAGGUUUUUCUACAUUUUCCUUUGAGGCAUAACCUAACUGUUUACUUCUUCCAGGCAGGAGCUAACAUGAUUGUGUCUGGCAGUGCUAUUAUGAGGAGUGAAGACCCCAGAUCUGUGAUCAAUCUAUUAAGAAAUGUUUGCUCAGAAGCUGCUCAGAAACGUUCUCUUGAUCGGUGAAACCAUAAGGAGCCCAGUGUUCCUGUUCAUGAAAUCUCCCUUUUACUGGAAAACAGGAAUAUUGACUACCAAAUCACAAUGCAAUUGAAGCCGUACUGCUUUUUUGAGCAGUUAUUCAUUCCAGUGAUUAAAACUGAUUGUGCAGAAUAUUCUAAGAGGUCAGAAAUUGUCUAAUUUUACGCUGUAGCAGAACCAGAUGGCUGAGAAAAUUCUGGAACUAUGGAUCUUGACCCCAAGGAUAUAUUAUUUUAUUCCAAGAAAGAUCAGUUGUGCAGAAGAUUCUGACCUUAUUUGAGGCUUACAUAUAGGUUUGGAGAUGUGGAAAGGAGUGGAAAAAGAAAUAUGUAAGCUGAAGUGCCAAACUCACACUGAAAUAAAGGGCAUGGCCUACCAGCUGACAAGGAGUGUCUGGUUUCAAGAUGGCAAAUGACCCUAAACAUGAUAGACAAAUACGUUUUACAUAGGUACAUGCACAGAUAGGCACAUAUAAAUCCACAUUUGCAAGCAAAAAGUGGAACCUGUAAAGCAGAAUUUCUGAGGAAUCUCUAAAAGACUAAUACUAUAUGGAAUUUGAAGAGGAAACCCAGAGCAGAAGCACAUAGUGAAGUACUGCCACAAAGAUGUGUGACGCCACUAAAGGUGCUCUAGACCCACAAGAAAGGAAAACUGGGAGCAGGACAACUAUCUGGAUAUUGACUGCACAUGCCAAUAUCUCAGUCAGACUAACAGAAUCAGAGCUUUAGGC